rnacentral:lncRNA from 1 species
CAAGGUAUAGAGGUCGGGAAAGGAAAUACAAAUUCUGGUCUAAGAUUGCUCACUGGUCAAAGAUUGCUCACAUUUCUGCGAUCCAGAUAAAUGAUGAUGUGACAAUAAGAUGAGCUUUUGGAUGAGUAAGAAUCAUUGAAAAGGUAAACCUUUCAAUCAUGUUGAAAAAAUAUGAUGGCAAUGUUAUUAUUUCAGAUAUAAUAUUCGUAAAGUAAUAUUUCGUGCUUUCAUUUUUAGUUUUAUUUUUGGUGAUCAUUGGGGGCGAAGCCUUAGUAAACUGGGUUGACUUCUGCUUAUUGUCUACUGAUAUAAUAUUUAUUUCAAACCAUUUUUUGGUGUCAUUGUUGUACAUUGGAUUGUGGGUUCAAUUUUAUUUGGGAAAAAUAAACUAAAAUCGGUUUAAUCUGGGUUCCAUGUUAAUAAAUGAAAAGCCAAAUAAAUUUAGUAAAUUGUUGAGAGUCGUUGACAAGUUGGACCAUAAAAUGGCUUUUAUAAUAUUUUGAAGUUUCAAGGAUUUAUUUUGCAACUUGGAGCAUACUUAAAUAAUUAAAAAUAAGUACAUGCUUUGCCUUGUCUCAAAAUGAAAUAUUGAGGUUUUUAUAUUUGGAAUUUUGUUGGCAAAGUGGAUUAUAAGAAUGAUUGUACAUUUAGCUUAAAUUUGUUUUCAUUUGUUAAAAGUAUGCAUUUUAAUAUGUUUGAUCGAGAUUUCACAGUUGUUAGUGCACAUGUAUGCUUGAGAUAACAUAGAGUUCACUUGAUAAAUAGGGAGGAAAAAAUACGUGCAAUAGUGUUUGAGUAGACUUACGUAAUCUUAUUGAGUAGAUUGCAUUAAUCAAUUGGUGUCAGGAUGGCAAACUGACAAGACUAGAUGCAUGUAAAGGUGGAAAUUUACAUGGUUGUUUCCCUAUUUUAUUUCUGAUUUAGUGCUUAUGCCAUAUAUUUAGUCUAGCCUUUCACCGGAUAUAAGUUCUUUGGUGAUUUUCUAGUAGAUACUGAACAGUGUUGUCAAUGGUGGAUAGCCGAAAAUCACAAAGUUGAAAAUCCAUUAUUAGAAUAUAGCAAAUAACUCGGUCAAAUAGCGAAAGCCACAUAACGGUUGAAAUAGAAAAUAUAUAACAAUUAAAUAUGUAUAAAAAAAAGCAUGUUAUAUGCAAAAAAAAAAAAAAAAAGCUGGACAAACAUUAACAUAAUAUUAUCUCAAAAGUUAAAUUGUUCAAAACAAAAUAUGUUCAUUCUCCUCUGCCCCUUUCCCAAUAUAAUAAAAAAAUGCUAUAAACAGCUGAAAGUUAAUUAGCUAAACAAGUCCUAAUGACGCCCAUAAUCAAAAUAAGCUAAAAACUAAUUCGAUAAACAAGUCCCAAUAAAGACAUAUAAUAAGAAAAAAAAAAAGCUAAAAGCAUCAAGAAAACAUCUAUUCAUUCUGCUCUACCCCUACCCCAGCAUCAAGAAAACAGAGGAAGAAGAUGAAAGAAGUUAAAAUGUUGGACGAAGAAGAAGAAAGAAAAAACAGAGAAAGAAAAAGAAGAAAGAAGCAUUAAACAAAAGAAAGAAAAGAAAGUUGUUACCUUACUUGUACAAAAACAGGGGCUUGACAAAGAAGAAGGCUACUUGGUGAUUAAGAAUCAGAGGAAAUGAGAGGUUCUAGAAUGCUCUGGAAAAAACUUAUCUGAAGUAGAAGUAGAACUGAAGUUAAAAUGUUACUGUCCGGUCAAGUCCAUAAGUAAAAGAUAAAAAGAAUAAAAUAAAAAAUAAAAUGAGUUUUAAUUUGGAUAAAUAGUCAUUUUUAUCCUUGGA